rnacentral:rRNA from 1 species
CAGUAGCCGCGGUAAUACCGAGGGUGCGAGCGUUAAUAGGAUUUACUGGGCGUAAAGCGUGCGUAGGCGGCUUCUUAAGUCGGAUGUGAAAUCCCUGAGCUUAACUUAGGAAUUGCAUUCGAUACUGGGAAGCUAGAGUAUGGGAGAGGAUGGUAGAAUUCCAGGUGUAGCGGUGAAAUGCGUAGAGAUCUGGAGGAAUACCGAUGGCGAAGGCAGCCAUCUGGCCUAAUACUGACGCUGAGGUACGAAAGCAUGGGGAGCAAACAGGAUUAGAUACCCGUGUAGUCCCUGUCUCUUAUAC